rnacentral:misc_RNA from 1 species
AAUUCUCAAAACCCUCUUUUCUAGAGGAUUUUGGACUUGGAGGUUUAGUGCUUGCCUUUGGCUCUCAAAGGCGAGCUCCUCUCAAAUGAAUCAGUGGGGUCUGCUUUGCUGGUCCUUGACGUGAUAAGAUGUUUUGACGUUUUGGACUUGGCACUGUAUGUUGGACACCUGCUUCUAACCGUCCGUCUCGUGGACAAACGAUGGUGCUCCGGUCUCCUCCAUUCACUUUGGCGGGAGGCUGGACCCACGAAGAAAA